AUUUGGAGGGGCUGAAGUUAUAGCUCUGUACUGGUCGCUAACUUCAGUUUACGUCGAAACGAAUUGUGAUCUGCACACUUGCUGACUUCUGGUCCCUGCUCGCUACUUCAUUCUGGGAGAUGAUCCAUCAUGUAAUGGUCGGACUGAUUUGGACAAAGCCAUUUUUCAUUUGCAAAUUUUGAAGUGAUAAUGAUACUACAGAAAAUUGAUCUUUAUCGAUAUUGGAAACAAGAAAAUUUGAGCACAGUUUUGGAGAGGACUAAGAAUACUGACUUUGACAGGAAUACAGCUUGACAAAAAUAAGAAUACACAAUUUAAAACCAAAGAACAGUUUUAAUGUUACUUAUGGCGCAUUGCAAGAAACUUUCUACUCAUUUACACAUUCCAAAAUCAAGGGUAAGUCCUUUGCUUAAAAACAAACAUGUAGUUGAUUUGCAAUUGAACAUAAGUUUCUUGCAAUGCCCCAUAAUUAUAUUUUGUUCUCAAGCAACUCUUUAAUGUUAUCCAAUGUGCUGAAGGUUAAGUGUUUAUGUAUGUUCACAAUUUUUUCUCAAAAGUUAUAAUAUAUUUGUCCUUUUAAACGUGGACGGU
rnacentral:lncRNA from 1 species